CAGAGGAGGAGCGGAGGACGACGAGCAGGCACCGAAGCGUAGCCGACCGAACUUCGUGCGUGAUGAGGGCUGCUACCUGCUCUACGACCGAAGCAGGGAAGACGUAUGCCUCGGCGGUACCUACUACUUGGUGCGGCUGCCGGACGACUGGUCAAAGCAGUGGGACCGCGACACGCCGUGCCCGGAGCGGCCUACCGAAGACAAGCCUGCUUGGACCUCUGAACCCGUGCAACGCGGACGAGGACCGUGGUCAACACUACUUCGUCCCGUUCCAUAUGUUCUCGUUCUGGCGGAGUAGCUUGUCUUAAGGCCACGGCCCGACCUCAGUUGCCUCCUAGGUAUACGAAGAGGUUGUGAGUUGCACUAGGUGGGGACCGACGACCUCCAGUUAGACAAUGCGCUGGAGGCAGUGCUUUUGUAGUAGUGUGAGCAUGGACGAAGGUGAGGGCCGUCGCUCAAGCAGAUGCUCGUGCGCCUCUUGCCAUGGGAACUAUUCACCGACGUGGCGGGGGCGGGUGGCGACUUGACCGGCUACUCCUCCCGGUAGCGGUAGCCGCAGCGUCCUCCCGACAGGAUGGACGUGUUCGUUACGUAGCAGGUGGUGUUGUAGUUGAGAUCGUUGCAUAACGAACUGGCACGGAAGUUCGGGUUCUAGCGCCCGAAGCCAGUACGGGUUUUCUAGUUGUAACGGCCUAGCCUGCUGCCUCUGCUUGUUGGCGGCGGCUGCAAAGUUGGAGAAUGGCCGUUGAAACCUAUGCGCCGAGGUCUGAUACACUGUUACUAUCCACUCAACUGGCUCUACCAACUGCACAUGUCGAACCCGCACCACGAUGACCUCGAUCAUUGGCCCGCCCGUCGGCAACUUAAACGGUAGUGACUGCUACCUCCGGCUCCUGGGACCUAAAAAAAUUAGAAAAUGGAGAGGGAGAGAGAGGGGGAGGAGGAGGGCCCAGCGAGCGCGCCCGCCGAGGCCUCCGGUUUUGGGAUCGGGGCGCUCGGGAAAGGGUGCUCGAAGGGACCGGCGGCGGCGGCGGCUGCGGCCGUCACCACCGCCGCGGGCCGGCGGAUUCCGCCGCCCGCCCCAGCCGCGCGGGGCUGCCCGAGGGAAGCGCGCCUCCACUCCGCAGUUCGCCCGCCGCGUCCCCAAGGAAGGCCACACCACCGCAUACCGCCCCCAUCAACGUCGCCUCACCGCCUCGAGCCGUUCUUCAACGUCAACUCCGAGUACCACGAGCCCGAACCCUAGGACCUCCGCGGCCGCACCUGGACUACCGCCGCCGCGCCGACCUCGUUCUACCAGCGCCGCGACGCCGAGUCGGUCCUCCCCGACCCGCUCGUCGCCGGGCCACGUUGACGCAGGAGCCCCUACGACACCACAGGAGACGCGCGGCCGCGCCUACUCCCUCCACCACUGCGCGCGCUAGACCUAGACUCCGCGCGAUACCGACGAGGCCCAUACACUCGAAAGACGAACCACCGACCGCCGACCUACACCACACCGAGCGCCGACGUAGGCGCGUUAGACCUCAACCACCGACCGCCGAUACGCGCCACGGCCACUGGAACGGCACGACGGUACUUACCUCCAGGUUUCGACACUGAAAAAGAACCGGCUUGCCUUCAACCUUCAACCCGACGCACGGGAAUCGGCACAUCCCACCACAUGACGUAGCAAUACCGGUGUUACCGAUCCACGACGCCGCCGCCGCCUCACCGGGAAGUACCUGUCACACGGAGUUAGGCUACUCCUCACAACCUCUCCACGCUGCUGUGCCUACCUUUAGAACGGGCCGAAACUAGCCACGACCGCCGCUACCGCGGACGCCCACAGCGAUGGGAGGAACCUCCGCAGUGAUUCCACACAGCCGUAGAGGGGGAAGAUCAAACCCAACAACAGAGGCUCGCUUUCGGAACCAAGCAAGGGCCUGGCCGCUACCGCCGCAGAACUGCAGCAAGGAGGCAACUCUCGUAGCGCACACCUCUGAACCGUACCUCCGAGAUACAACACCAAGAAGCCACGAGCAGCGACCAGGUUCAUCUAGAAGAAGCCGCGAUACGUGCAGCCGCGGCCACUCAAGUUCUGCUACCGAUAGAGCCCUGGCUGACUCAGGGCGGUGGGUGAGUGGUAGGGGAAAAGCCGUAAGUUCCCACCGACCACGCAGCUGUUCCCCUCAGGCCACCGUCAACAAGGAAACUCCACUGGACACAACCAGCUCUGCGCCGAAACAACAAGAUAAAUCCCGUUCAAGGAAACGGAACACAAACAUUACACACACCACCGAAAAGAAGCCUAAUCGAACCCACACCUCAACAUGAUGUGUACAACAAGCGUCGUUCACCAUUAGAGAACAUUAAUAGAAGACAGAAGAUAAUUUUAUACUAUGCGGAAACUGCAUGAGAGCUUUUUUUUUUACUACCUCCGCCUCAGCGAAGACCAGCGGCAGGUACCGGUGCUCAAACCGUGAACGGUCGGACCCGCGUACUACACUACUUGUCUCCUCCAAAGUCGUCGUUACACCAACUGUACCGGUAGGGUUUAUUCCGUACCAUAUACUCUCUCUACCUCCGCCACAAGUUCGAGCGGCACCUAACGUGGUAAUCCGUCCGCGUGGACUCCGGCAGGUACGUCUCCCAAGAGUUUGUUGAGGCUAUGGUACCGUCGUGCAACAGCACCUAUUUUUCGGCAGAGUCCACGACGGAUGACACUCACAGUGUUUUUUCCUUCUUUUUCCACAAGAGGAGGGGCAACACAUAGUGUACGAACCUAGACACAAAAGUUACAUACUUCACUAGUACACUCGGAAAAGACUUUGGCCGGUUUUAUCCCCACACUAUACACAUCAAAACUACAUUAGCCGUUUUUUUUUUUCACUAGCCACAUACUUCACUAGUACCCAAAAGUCAACAUGACGUCAAAACAACAUUUGCAUCUUUCUUUUAUUCUUCAUGAACAACAAAACGACACCAUAUGAAUCAACAUGACUUCAAGACUGUUAAUUAUACCUAGCUUCUCUCAUGAUAAAGAAA
rnacentral:rRNA from 1 species